rnacentral:rRNA from 1 species
CAGUAGCCGCGGGAAUAUGAAGGGGGCUAGCGUUGUUCGGAAUUACUGGGCGUAAAGGGCGCGUAGGCGGCCAUUCAAGUUAGAUGUGAAAGCCCUGGGCUCAACCUAGGAAUUGCAUUUGAUACUGUUUGGCUUGAGUUCGGGAGAGGUGAGUGGAAUUCCCAGUGUAGAGGUGAAAUUCGUAGAUAUUGGGAAGAACACCAGUGGCGAAGGCGGCUCACUGGACCGACACUGACGCUGAGGCGCGGAAGCGUGGGGAGCAAACAGGAUUAGAUACCCCAGUAGUCCCUGUCUCUUAUAC